GAUGAACGCUGGCGGCGUGCCUAAUACAUGCAAGUCGAGCGAACAGAUGAGGAGCUUGCUCCUCUGACGUUAGCGGCGGACGGGUGAGUAACACGUGGAUAACCUACCUAUAAGACUGGGAUAACUUCGGGAAACCGGAGCUAAUACCGGAUAAUAUAUUGAACCGCAUGGUUCAAUAGUGAAAGACGGUUUUGCUGUCACUUAUAGAUGGAUCCGCGCCGCAUUAGCUAGUUGGUAAGGUAACGGCUUACCAAGGCAACGAUGCGUAGCCGACCUGAGAGGGUGAUCGGCCACACUGGAACUGAGACACGGUCCAGACUCCUACGGGAGGCAGCAGUGGGGAAUCUUCCGCAAUGGGCGAAAGCCUGACGGAGCAACGCCGCGUGAGUGAUGAAGGUCUUCGGAUCGUAAAACUCUGUUAUUAGGGAAGAACAAAUGUGUAAGUAACUAUGCACGUCUUGACGGUACCUAAUCAGAAAGCCACGGCUAACUACGUG
rnacentral:rRNA from 1 species